GACGAACCGAGCGAACGUUGUUCGGAAUCACUGGGCUUAAAGGGCGCGUAGGCGGGCUGUCAAGUCUGGGGUGAAAUCCCGCGGCUCAACCGUGGAACUGCCUCAGAUACUGACGGCCUCGAGGGAGGUAGGGGCGAGCGGAACUGUGAGUGGAGCGGUGAAAUGCGUUGAUAUUCACAGGAACUCCGGUGGCGAAGGCGGCUCGCUGGACCUUUUCUGACGCUGAGGCGCGAAAGCUAGGGGAGCGAACAGG
rnacentral:rRNA from 1 species